UACGUAGGGGGGCUAGCGUUGUCCGGAAUCAUUGGGCGUAAAGCGCGUGUAGGCGGUCCGGUAAGUCCGCUGUGAAAGUCGAGGGCUCAACCCUCGAAUGCCGGUGGAUACUGUCGGGCUAGAGUACGGAAGAGGCGAGUGGAAUUCCUGGUGUAGCGGUGAAAUGCGCAGAUAUCAGGAGGAACACCAAUUGCGAAGGCAGCUCGCUGGGACGUCACUGACGCUGAGACGCGAAAGCGUGGGGAGCAAACAGG
rnacentral:rRNA from 1 species